rnacentral:rRNA from 1 species
GAUGCUGGCCUUCCGAGGCAUGUGCUUGCCCCUGCUCAUCCAUCUACACCUGUGCACCUUUUGUGGCUAGGCUUACGGUCCACGUUCUGCGUGGGCUGGAAGCCGGCUGCGUUUUUUUUUUAAUACACACACUUCAGUUCAGAAUGUACUAUUGCUAUAAACGCAUUAAAUACAACUUUCAACAACGGAUCUCUUGGCUCUCGCAUCGAUGAAGAACGCAGCGAAAUGCGAUAAGUAAUGUGAAUUGCAGAAUUCAGUGAAUCAUCGGAUCUUUGAACGCACCUUGCGCUCCUUGGUACUCCGAGGAGCAUGCCUGUUUGAGUGUCAUGAAUAUCUCAAUCCUGGAUUUCUUUGUGAGAUCCAGGACUUGGACUUGGAGGCUGCUGGCGUCUGUCAGCUCCUCUCUAAAUGCAUUAGCAGAGUCUUUCGAGAUGCUGCCUCGGUGUGAUAAUUGUCUACACCGUGUGUAUGCAUCUUGCUUGUUGCUACCCCGCUUGAACAAGGCGGUUGUGUGGCUGGGACAAAGCUUCUAACUGUCUGCAAAGACAACAUCUGACAUCUGACCUCAAAUCAGGUAGGAUUACCCGCUGAACUUAAGCAUAUCAAU